rnacentral:rRNA from 1 species
UACAGAGGUCUCAACCGUUGUUCGGAUUCAUUGGGCGUAAAGGGUGCGUAGGCGGCGGGGUAAGUCAGGUGUGAAAUCUCGGGGCUCAACCCCGAAACUGCACUUGAUACUGCCUCGCUUGAGUACUGGAGAGGAGACUGGAAUUCACGGUGUAGCAGUGAAAUGCGUAGAUAUCGUGAGGAAGACCAGUGGCGAAGGCGGGUCUCUGGACAGUUCCUGACACUGAGGCACGAAGGCCAGGGGAGCAAACGGG